GAUGAACGCUGGCGGCGUGCCUAAUACAUGCAAGUCGAGCGGACGGACGCGAAGCUUGCUUCUCUGAUGUUAGCGGCGGACGGGUGAGUAACAAGUGGAUAACCUACCUAUAAGACUGGGAUAACAUCGGGAAACCGGAGCUAAUACCGGAGAAUAUUUUGAACCGCAUGGUUCAAGAGUGAAAGACGGUCUUGCUGUCACUUAUGGAUGGGUCCGCGCUGCAUUAGCUAGUUGGUAGGGUAACGGCUUACCAAGGCAACGAUGCAUAGCCGACCUGAGAGGGUGAUGGGCCACACUGGAACUGAGACACGGCCCAGACUCCUACGGGAGGCAGCAGUAGGGAAUCUUACGCAAUGGGGGAAAGACUGACGGAGCAACGCCGCGUGAGGGAUGAAGGUCUUCGGAGCGUAAAACUCUGUUAUUAGGGAAGAACAUAUGUGGAAGUAACUGUGCACAUCUUGACGGUAGCUAAUCAGAAAGCCACGGCUAACUACGUG
rnacentral:rRNA from 1 species